rnacentral:rRNA from 1 species
UACGUAGGGUGCAGGCGUUAAUCGGAAUUACUGGGCGUAAAGCGUGCGCAGGCGGUCUGCUAAGAGAGAUGUGAAAUCCCCGGGCUUAACCUGGGAACUGCGUUUCUAACUGGCAGGCUUGAGUGUGGCAGAGGGGGGUGGAAUUCCACGUGUAGCAGUGAAAUGCGUAGAGAUGUGGAGGAACACCGAUGGCGAAGGCAGCCCCCUGGGCUAACACUGACGCUCAUGCACGAAAGCGUGGGGAGCAACAGG